GCCAAUAGCCAGCCUUUUUGAAACAUGCAGUAGUCCAUCCUCUAUAGAUGUGCCACAUCAGAUCCGGACCCAGACCAGUUGCAAGAAAAGAUAUCCACUUCGCAACAGUUGAAUCAAAUCAACGUGAUGUGGAGGCAUGGACGAUGGAACAGUACAUGGCAAAGAAUGCUAGGCUCGAGGAGUGGAAAUCUAGGGUAAGCAGUUCUCUUGCAUCUCUUUACUCAGCCAUAAAACUGAAGCAUGCCUCAGAGCACAUGUGUAGAGCACAUUUGUGAAGUUGUAAUAAACUGCACUGUUGCAUGAAAUUUUCAGGAUGACAAGGAGUUAGGAGGAAUUGAGGGCCACCAGCUGAUGAACCGGUUUGACGACCACGAUGUCACAAACAAUUACGACAGCGACAGUGACUUAGAGACCUGUGAACCUGUUGUGUUUGCACAUAUGCCGACCGAGGUUAUUGACAUGAAGGUCUUAUUACAACAUCGUCAAUUGACUAGGUUUAUGGCUGCAAACAUGCCUGCUGGUAUCAAUUCAUGAAUAGCCUUCAGUUUUGUACUUUAUAUUCACUGCAAGGACGAAGAAACGGAUUCAAAUCGGGUCACUUUCAUCCUAUCAGUAUGGCAUUGUUUUGUUCACAUUGUCUGUUUGAUCGAAUUGACAUCUGGCUAGCGUGGAUCGUAACGUCAAGGCCGUUGCAGCUGUCGAUGAUCUUGGACCCGAGAACUCGACGUGUACUGGGAUGGAUUCUGAGUAAGCUUGGAAGCGUUUUGGCAGCCUAUGAUGGUGGCCCUAUUAGGAAGAGAGGCGGAGGGAGAGAGAGAGAGCGAGAGAGCGAGAGAGACAGGCAGACUGGAAUGGGUUCCAAUCACCCCAGUCACCAAUGUGUGCGGACUGAUUCAAGGUCUCUACACACCGACAUUCACAGCAUGUAGCCCGCCCCCGCCCAUGCCGCGGAUUGUAUAUGUUUAAGGCCUACGGAUAAGAUUUCGUGAUCAUGUGUAAUCUCUCGAGCGCAUCCACGCCGUGUAGGUCUCGUCAGUCUUGUGGGGUCCGUGCAAUUAGAAGCCGGCUAUACUGUGAAGGCUAAGGCCCUGAGAAGUGUUCUUUGAUCACAAGUUGAGUUCGGUUUCCCUUGGGUGCUAGCGGCUUCUUUGAAGUUAAUUGUGGGAGUAGUCCGCAAUUUUUUGUAAGGGAAGAAUAACCUAGCUAGCGUUCGGUGGUCAUCCGUGGAGCUCCUCCGGGGAAGAGAAAUCUGCAAGCCAGGGUCGCGAGAAUCGACGCACUGACGUUGCGGAGACGAGGAUGGGGGCUAUUGGAACGGGGCAAACGGGGACGAGGGCUGAGAGAACGUGGAGAACGGGGGGAACGGGGACGGAUGGAACGAUGGUUUAGACAUUUGGGUCAAUUUAACAAAAGCUUGGGUCAUUUUAACAUUUCCCUAUAUAUAUAAAUUUUAUUUAUUUAUUUUAUACUA